UGGGGAAUAUUGCACAAUGGAGGGAACUCUGAUGCAGCGACGCCGCGUGAACGAAGAAGGCUUUCGAGUCGUAAAGGUCUUUUAUAUGGGAAGAUAAUGACGGUACCAUAAGAAAAAGCCCCGGCUAACUACGUGCCAGCAGCCGCGGUAAUACGUAGGGGGCUAGCGUUGUCCGGAAUCACUGGGCGUAAAGGGUUCGCAGGCGGAAAUGCAAGUCAGGUGUAAAAGGCAGUAGCUUAACUACUGUAAGCAUUUGAAACUGCAUAUCUUGAGAAGAGUAGAGGUAAGUGGAAUUUUUAGUGUAGCGGUGAAAUGCGUAGAUAUUAAAAAGAAUACCGGUGGCGAAGGCGACUUACUGGGCUCAUUCUGACGCUGAGGAACGAAAGCGUGGGUAGCAAACAGG
rnacentral:rRNA from 1 species